rnacentral:misc_RNA from 1 species
UAUGCUGCGAGUUCCCGUUUCCACUCCAAGCAGCGGAGAAAUGGAGCAUAACAACACACACCAGUUGAGGUCUCGGUCCCACCAACAGUUUCAUCCCUCUCGACCUGCCAUCCUUGAUCUCUUCAAUUUAUACUUAGGACUGAAAAAUUCUGGACAAAAAUCAGAUGAUUCUAUCAGAGAACCACCGAACAAGACACAGAAGAGAGUAACUGCUCUUAACAGAGAGCUUCCUCCACGAAAUGAGCAAUUUCUCUUAGAUUUUG